CAAGCACUCGGCAGCUAGAAGAAGACACCCUCAAAAGAUGGAACACCGCAGCGGCCAAUAUGGCGACCCUUGCCAUUUCCCAUUACACUUUCCCUGCCCACCAGCCCCCACCCCCUCCUUACAGCCCUUCUUCGCACCCACUCACACUCACACUACCGAAAUUAACGCAAAACAAAUGAAGCACACGCAUGUGCCGCCGCCGCAGUCGCAGUCGACGUUGGCAGCGAACUCAAGCGCAUCGCAACAACUACAGACGCAACAAAUGAGCAGAAUUGCAUUUUGUGCAUUUCGACCCCCAAAAAGUGUAAGCUGGACGCAAAAAUGCAAAUGAGAGGCGGCAGACAGUAAUCCCCCAUGGAUGAACGGGCUAGCGGGGCGGGGGCGGGUGAUGGUGCGUUGCGAGAGGGAGAUGGACUGACCGCCCAUUCCACUCAUCGAAGUUGCUUGGACCUAUCUACACCACUCAAAAUCUGGAGUUGGUUCGUCGGGUGCCCAGCAAUCCAUGUACUACUACUGCAAGGUGACCGAUGCGGACAGGGCCACAGGUGGCGGCGGCAUGCUUUAAUAUGAUAUGAUUUAGACUUAUGCUUGAUAUUUAAAUCAUUAAAUAUAUUAUAAAAUCGUUAUCAAUUUCGUGCAGGUCAACGCUCUCAACGCACUCGCACACACACGCAGCCAAACAAACGCAUCGUAAUUGCAUUGGACCGUUCAAUAAAUAAAUUGGCAAGUGUUGUUGUUAUUGUUGCUAUCAAUUUGCUGGAAGGGAGAGCCAGAGUGAGUAAAACGGAUCAGCGAGAGAGGAACAACAAGUUCUUAUUUCUCAAUUAAAUUAAAUGUCAGUCCUAAUUUAACCGUCAUUGAGUUCGGAUCGAUCGGUUACAAUAAUUUAAGGUGCAGCUGUGUGAAAAGUUUCCCUUUUCCACAAUCAAAGAAAUUUAAUCACUAACAGAGGCAAAAAAAGAGCAAAAGAAACAAACGAGCAAGGCAGAGCAAGUAAAACGGACAGAAAAAACUUUCAUUUUCAAUGUCAAGCAACAAUAACAACAACAAAAAAACGUCUGCCGGUUGGGGGAGGCGAUUUUGUGAUGAGAGAGCCAAAAAGAGAGAGCGGAAUUAAGAAAGAGAAAGGAAGAAGGUUUUUGAUUUUGGCGGGAGAGCGCUUUUUGCCCCUCUCGAUAACACUGCCACACCGCUCUCUCCCCUUUUCCGUCCCGCUCACGCCAUGUGGUUACAACCAGACGCGUGGCCUUUGCAACAACAACAGUCUUACAACAAUAGAUGCACAUACUGACACUCGCCGCACACUCGCACUCGCACAGAUGGGCAAAAUAUUGAAAAAUUGCCAAAAUAAGAGACCAGACAUUUUUCGAAUGUCGAAAGCAAGAUAUACUAUACACACCAUAUAUCAUAUAAUGGGAAGAGCUCUUGAAAACUCACCAUGCUCAUAAGGCGAAAAGGUUCCAGCAUCUAUAUUGAUAUAGGGGUCAAUCUUGAUUGAGGUUACAUCCAGACCACAGGAUUUCAAAAGCGUUCCGAACGAGGAGGCAAUCACUCCUUUUCCCACGCCACUAAUGACGCCGCCAGUGACCAGGAUGUAUUUCAUCUUUCCGUCUCGAAUGUCGAACUAUCGGAUCACCAAAUCUCGCGGAUAAUUGUAUUAUCGGUUCAAUUCGCGAUGGACACUCAAUCUGGGGCAAUCCGAGCAACAAUUGCGUUGUUUAUUUGCCUUUCUAUGCACGUGGUUUUUGAAUUAAGAAAUUAGAAAUUCGCAUGUAUGGUAUGACCACCACUCAUUUUAAUGAUAAUACCAGUGACUCACGUGUGUUGUUAAACGUCACAAAACCGCGCAGAUGUGAACAUCUACAUUUCUCUUACAUGACUACAUGACUACUACAUGACUCCUCGCACUGAAAAAUAAACAAGAAUCAAAUAUCAUUUUAGCAUAGAA